rnacentral:lncRNA from 1 species
AGACAGUAAAAUAUAAUCUGCUGUUUUUGUACCCAGAUGUUUCCAACAAACUCAAUUUUGCAUCACCCACAAGAGAAAUCAGAGGGGAAUUAGCAACAGAUAUACAUGUAAGAUUAGCCUGAGAGCCCAACUUCUGCCUGGGUGUUAGGAAUUUCCUAAAUGGGGGUUCACACAUUGUUACUGAGCUCAACAUUUUUCCUUUAAAAUUAACCCUCCAAAAUAAAAAGUAGGAAAUAAAAUAGUCAUAGGAUUCAUUAUUUUAUGUCCUAGGCGUAACUGGAGCUAAUUAUUGUUAAGAGAGAGAGUUGGGUAACUUCAAAUGUGAUGCUUUUUUCAUUAGAGCAUAGCCAUCCUUCUCUUUAACGGAAAGUUUGGAACAAUCCCCACAGAUCUAGCUCAGUGUCUGGCACAUAAAUGUUUUCUGACUGGUUCCAUGAUGGAUUUGAGCUGGAUGCCUUUUUCUUUGCUGAUUUGCUUCUGACAGUAGGAAAAGAUUAGGUGCCUCUUAUCUAUGAUGAAGGACAUGUGUGGGGAGAGAAGAAGAGGUAGACUGAAGAAGCCAGUAAAUUGCCCCUGGAUUUGGAGAGGAAAGAAGAUGCACACUCCCAGUGCUGGCUGCCUCUUGCAGCAGAUAAAUGAGGCAGCAAUUUUAACUUUUUAUGAAGAGGUUUAUUAGGCUUCUGUGCUAUUCUGGCCUAAUGUUCCUUUGUUUGUGGCAGUUCAUUUUUUCCCUGAUGAAGUGCUAGAGAAAGUCGGAUGUGACCAUUAUGACUUGGAAUACCUCCUCCUUUUUCCCCAUGCUAACCCAGCUCAUGCCUAGGAUGAAAGGACUUUCCUUCUUCCUUCUUUUUUUCCCUUCUUUUUCUUAAUGGCAGCAUCUUAGCAGAGUCUUAUGAAGGGUCCGCCCCAUCCCUCCCCACUCCCACCUCCAACAUUUGAAAGAGGAAGAAUUUCUACAUUAGUGACCCAGAUGACCAGAUAGUCCUUGUGCCCAAAUAUUUUUGUCAAGAUGUAAAGCAAGCAGAGCAUUUGGCAUUUCUAAAAUACACAACAGAGAACCCAGGAUCCACGAAGGAGCAUCUUUCAAUCUUUCAUCCUGCUUUCCUAGGUGGUGCCACUGUUUGUCAUCACAAAUGAAACUCUGUCUGAAGGGAAUUAUGUAAAUUGAAAUAUCAUUUUAGUCAACAAAUGUUUAUGAUGCAUUUUUAAUAGCAUGUAACAAAUGUGUUUGUAUCCCCCUUUGUCUUUAU